rnacentral:rRNA from 1 species
UACGUAGGGAGCAAGCGUUGUUCGGAUUUACUGGGCGUAAAGGGCGCGUAGGCGGCGCGGUAAGUCACUUGUGAAAUCUCUGAGCUUAACUCGGAACGGUCAAGUGAUACUGUCGGGCUAGAGUACAGAAGGGGCAACUGGAAUUCUCGGUGUAGCGGUGAAAUGCGUAGAUAUCGAGAGGAACACCUGCGGCGAAGGCGGGUUGCUGGGCUGAUACUGACGCUGAUGCGCGAAAGCCAGGGGAGCGAACGGG